CGCCUGCAUGAAGUCGGAAUUGCUAGUAAUCGCGGAUCAGCAUGCCGCGGUGAAUACGUUCCCGGGCCUUGUACACACCGCCCGUCACACCAUGGGAGCCGGUAAUACCCGAAGUCAGUAGUCCAACCUCGUGAGGACGCUGCCGAAGGUAGGAUUGGCGACUGGGGUGAAGUCGUAACAAGGUAAC
rnacentral:rRNA from 1 species